AAAUCGCCUCUGCCGAAAUCACCGCAAUCCGAUGGUUCGGUACAAAAGGCGAGCAAGUGCAACAGACAGUAUUUCGUCUCCACUGUUGCCGCAUCAAGAAAUGAGGCAGCUUCGCGGUGCACGGCGAUGAACAUGACCCUUUUGACCGUCACAUCUCUCGAGGAAUUGGACUGUCUGGCCAGUUUGAAGGACGGUACUUUCUGGACAAGUGGCUCAAACGAGGAUGCGAAUUGCGACUUGGAAAAAAAGUACGCUUGGUGUUCCACUGGCUACAACAUUUCCACCGCUUUGGUCUCGUCUCCGAGUUUCUGGCUUCCAACCAACGCACCCCCUUCCGCCCUAGAACGAUGUCUAGCCGUUGUCCUCUCCACCACCCCGCAAAAGGGGAUGGUGCACAAAAACUGCGUCGACCAACUUCCCUACAUCUGCCAAUUCACCGUUGACUG